UCAGGCCUCACACAUGCAAGUCGAGCGGUAAGGCCCCUUCGGGGGUACACGAGCGGCGACGGGUGAGUAACACGUGAGUGACCUGCCCCUGACUCCGGGAUAAGCGGUGGAAACGCUGUCUAAUACCGGAUACGACCUUCCGUUGCAUGACGGGGGGUGGAAAGCUUUCGCGGUUGGGGAUGGGCUCGCGGCCUAUCAGCUUGUUGGUGGGGUAACGGCCUACCAAGGCGAUUACGGGUAGCCGGCCUGAGAGGGCGACCGGCCACACUGGGACUGAGACACGGCCCAGACUCCUGCGGGAGGCAGCAGUGGGGAAUAUUGCGCAAUGGGCGAAAGCCUGACGCAGCGACGCCGCGUGGGGGAUGACGGCCUUCGGGUUGUAAACCUCUUUUACCACUAACGCAGGCUCGGGGNUNUGAACNGA
rnacentral:rRNA from 1 species